rnacentral:piRNA from 1 species
UGCACUCUGGAGGUAGGAAUCUCAGG